UGGGGAAUAUUGCACAAUGGGGGAAACCCUGAUGCAGCGACGCCGCGUGAGCGAUGAAGUAUUUCGGUAUGUAAAGCUCUAUCAGCAGGGAAGAAAAUGUCGGUACCUGACUAAGAAGCCCCGGCUAACUACGUGCCAGCAGCCGCGGUAAUACGUAGGGGGCAAGCGUUAUCCGGAUUUACUGGGUGUAAAGGGAGCGUAGACGGCAUGGCAAGCCAGAUGUGAAAUACCGGGGCUCAACCCCGGGACUGCAUUUGGAACUGUUAAGCUGGAGUGUCGGAGAGGCAGGCGGAAUUCCUAGCGUAGCGGUGAAAUGCGUAGAUAUUAGGAGGAACACCAGUGGCGAAGGCGGCCUGCUGGACGAUGACUGACGUUGAGGCUCGAAAGCGUGGGGAGCAAACAGG
rnacentral:rRNA from 1 species